rnacentral:snoRNA from 1 species
AUACCAUUGUGAGGGCAAGCCAAGAGGUACUCUUGGAAGCGCUGCCAUGCUUCAGGGAUCGACUCAUCUGACUCCUACUGGAAGUUUGAAAUCCUUCCACGAAGGGC